CACGUAGGGCGCAAGCGUUGUCCGGAAUUAUUGGGCGUAAAGAGCUCGUAGGCGGUCUGUUACGUCUGCUGUGAAAACCCGGGGCUUAACCCUGGGCUUGCAGUGGAUACGGGCAGACUAGAGGCAGGUAGGGGAGAAUGGAAUUCCCGGUGUAGUGGUGAAAUGCGUAGAUAUCGGGAGGAACACCAGUGGCGAAGGCGACUACCUGGCCUGUUCUUGACGCUGAGGCGCGAAAGCUAGGGGAGCAAACGGG
rnacentral:rRNA from 1 species